CCUUCCCCUGGCCCUGUGCAGGUGCGCUGUGUCACAUGUGUGUCAGUAGGUGGCAGAGGAGAGAGGCUAUGUCUGUGCUCACCGUCCUGACCUGUGAACAUCUGAAUGAUUACUAGCCUAACAUU
rnacentral:snoRNA from 1 species